CGAUUGUAAGAUAGAGGCUUACAAUGGUAUUAACGGGUAACGGGGAAUUAGGGUUCUAUUCCGGAGAGGGAGCCUGAGAAACGGCUACCACAUCCAAGGAAGGCAGCAGGCGCGCAAAUUACCCAAUGCUAAUUCAGCGAGGUAGUGACAAUAAAUACUGAUACGGGGCUCUUUCGGGUCUCGUAAUUGGAAUGAGUACAAUCUAAAUCCCUUAACGAGGAACAAUUGGAGGGCAAGUCUGGUGCCAGCAGCCGCGGUAAUUCCAGCUCCAAUAGCGUAUAUUAAAGUUGUUGCCGUUAAAAAGCUCGUAGUUGAACCUUGGACCUGGCUGAUCUGUCCUCCUAAUCGAGCGCACGGAUUCGGUCGGGUCUUUCCUUCUGGGGAGCCCUAUGCCCUUCACUGGGUGUAGUGGGGAACCAGGACUUUUACCUUGAAAAAAUUAGAGUGUUCAAAGCAGGCCUUUGCUCGAAUACAUUAGCAUGGAAUAAUAGAAUAGGACAUCGGUUCUAUUUUGUUGGUUUCUAGGACCGCUGUAAUGAUUAAUAGGGAUAGUCGGGGGCGUCAGUAUUCAAUUGUCAGAGGUGAAAUUCUUGGAUUUAUUGAAGACUAACUACUGCGAAAGCAUUCGCCAAGGAUGUUUUCAUUAAUCAGUGAACGAAAGUUAGGGGACCGAAGACGAUCAGAUACCGUCGUAGUCUUAACCAUAAACUAUGCCGACUAGGGAUCGGACGGUGGUUUUUUUAUGCCCCGUUCGGCACCUUACGAGAAAUCAAAGUUUUUGGGCUCGGGGGGGAGUAUGGUCGCAAGGCUGAAACUUAAAGAAAUUGACGGAAGGGCACCACCAGGGGUGGAGCCUGCGGCUUAAUUUGACCCAACACGGGGAAACUCACCAGGUCCAGACAUGCUUAGGAUUGACAGAUUGAUAGCUCUUUCUUGAUUGUAUGGGUGGUGGUGCAUGGCCGUUCUUAGUUGGUGGGGUGAUUUGUCUGCUUAAUUGCGAUAACGAACGAGACCUUGACCUGCUAAAUAGCCAGGUUGACUUUUGUCGGCCGCCGGCUUCUUAGAGGGACUUUUGGCUCAAGCCAAUGGAAGUACGAGGCAAUAACAGGUCUGUGAUGCCCUUAGAUGUUCUGGGCCGCACGCGCGCUACACUGACAGAGCCAGCGAGUACAUCACCUUGGCCGAAAGGUCUGGGUAAUCUUGUUAAACUCUGUCGUGCUGGGGAUAGAGCAUUG
rnacentral:rRNA from 1 species